rnacentral:lncRNA from 1 species
GUAAAUAUAUGGAAGUAACGAAAGAUGGAGAAGGGUGAUGAUGGUAGAAAAAUGGAAAAGAAAAGCACGUGGAAUGCUACACAUGAUGAAAACUAGAGGUUAAAUCAAUUUUAAAUUGUUUCCAUUCUCCAGUUUUUAUUUCAUUCAUUCUUCUUCAUUUCUCGAAAAAUAAAAAUAAAAAUAUCCUUAAUUUCUUCAUACCGUCCUCCCUCCAUAAUAAUUCAUCCCUUUGUCCAACAUGUAUUGUCCUUAUAUUUCUAACAAAAAUAAAAACGAAAAACAAAAAAGGUUACCUAAAGGACUGUUAAUUUUCACAUUUCAGAUGAAAUGUUUGUGUGCUCUUCUGUUUUUGGUGUUAUGAAUUUUCAAUCGCAUGGGCUUUUCUGUUUUAAGGGUUUUAUGCUGUGGGCUUCUUUACUGUUUGUAACUGGGCCUUAUGUGAAUGAAUUGUAUGAUUCUCUUUCAGCCUAUGAUUGCCCUUUGGGCUACUUACUGAAGCCACCUUUCACUUGGCAAAAGAAAAAUAAACAAACGCACGCUUUUUAUUUUAUUUUUUUAAGGGAAAGGGGUUGUUUCUACAACUACCAAGAGGUGUUAUGGGUUCGAAUUUGAGAUCAAACAAAUGUUUUUUUUACUGGAAA